UUUGUCCAAUUACUUAAUAGUGCAGCUGCGCUAUUUGGUUGUUACCGGCGCACGCACUAUCCGACAAGGCGCACACGUCGCUCCCUUCCAAAAAGAGCCAGCACACCGAUCCAUCCCGUUUGUUGUCUCUCUCUCAAGGAGAAAAAAACAUUAUCCUUAUCCCUUUCCCCGUCUCACCAUGGAGGUGGAGAAGAAGCACGGGAGCACAACAUCGCGACGCCUGGGUGGUCGAUGUGGAGGCGGUAGAUCGAACUAGAGCCCGACGAGAGGCCUGCCCGUGAACUGGAGCAGCGCCGCCGCCGUCUUUUCCUCCCAAUUUCUUGGAGGGGAGCUGGAGCGAUGCCGCCGCCGGCGUUGUCGAGCCGUCGAGGUACCUGCUCCUCUUGUGCGCCGUGAUUUUCCUUCUCAUCCAUGCUGGCCGCGAGGGUUUCUGCCCCGCCGCCAGGAAGCCGUGCGCGGAGUCUGCAUACUGAGGUGUUGCGGACGCCAAAGACGGAGGAAAAGGGCAAUGGAGACGUCGAUUUGUCGUUGGUUAGAGGUAAUGGCACAGUAGCGCCUCCAAAUCGAGGUAUGGUAAUUCCAGUUUAGAAGUAUGGUUUUGGGGAUCAUCCUGUUGGUUUGGGUGCUUAGGUAUUGGUUGCUGGCUGCCGGGCCAUAUUGCUUAUGCUGCAGUAAGGCUAGUUGAGAACUGGCGUGAUGCCAAAUUGCCAAUGUUCUGCUCAUGAACUUUUGAACUGCUGUAUAAAAAACGAGAGAGGGGGAAAGACACACUAUAUUUGGUGCUAAAUUUUUAAUCACACUGAACAUCAGGGUCAACCAUUAGUAGAUUUUAGACUAGGUUUGUGUCAACACGUGGGUUUCCGAUGGUUUAUGGAAGGCAUGAUCCAGUGAUAUACUGAUGGGUUAUCUCUAUACAUGCAGGCUGAAGCUAGAUCCAUGGAAGUAGUAGUUGUGGUAGAACAAAUCAUGUUCAGCUCUUGUUUCUGUGUGGAAAUCUUACAAUAUAUUUUCCAUAUAUUUUUGGCGAACUUUAUUGAUGAACAAAGCUACGGUUUAGCAUCCAGACUACUUACUAUAGUUGCUAGAAAUCUUACAAUAUAUUUUUCAUAUAUUUUUGGCAAACUUUAUUGAUGAACAGAGCUACGGUUUAGCAUCCAGACUACUUACUAUAGUUGCUCAUCUGCUCUUCGUUCGACUUGAGCCUGGUAGUUUCAUUACAACUGCAACUUGUCUGGUCAACUUGAUGUAUUUUUCCUUUUUAAUAAGACCCCACACUUUUUUGUGUUGUACUCCCUCCGUUCCUAAAUAUUUGUCUUUCUAGAGAUUUCAAAUGGUCACCACAUACGGAUGUAUAUAGACAUAUUUUAGAGUAUAGAUUCACUCAUUUUGCUCUGUAUGUAGUCACCAUUUGAAACCUCUAGAAAGACAACUAUUUAGGAACGAAGGGAGUACAUCAUAGCAACCAUGGCGGGGAUUAGCAAGAAUAAAAGAGCAGCAUCAUGCAUGAGCUCCUUAUCGAGGAUAGGGGCUGUCUUGUUUCCGGGGCGGCAAUUGGAGAACUAGAAGAGGAUCCAAACCCUGCUAGGACCAUGGGUCUGAAACAUGGACGGACAAAGUUAGUAGCUGCUCUUGGUUCACAUCGAGGAAAUCCAGGUGGGGAAGUUGCUCAAAGCAUAUAGUAUAGUUGCUCAAGGUAUAAUGUAUAGUUUCUCAAAGAUCAACUGACAUGUUCUUCUUUUUUAGAGUUGCUCAAAAGAGAGAAUAGUAAAUAGAUAUUUUUCACAAUAA